rnacentral:rRNA from 1 species
GACGAACGCUGGCGGCGUGCUUAACACAUGCAAGUCGAGCGGUAAGGCCCUUCGGGGUACACGAGCGGCGAACGGGUGAGUAACACGUGAGUAAUCUGCCCAUCACUUCGGGAUAACUCCGGGAAACCGGUGCUAAUACCGAAUAUGACCACUUCAGGCAUCUGAUGGUGGUGGAAAGUUCCGGCGGUGAUGGGUGAGCUCGCGGCCUAUCAGCUUGUUGGUGGGGUAGUGGCCUACCAAGGCUUCGACGGGUAGCCGGCCUGAGAGGGUGACCGGCCACACUGGGACUGAGACACGGCCCAGACUCCUACGGGAGGCAGCAGUGGGGAAUAUUGGACAAUGGGCGAAAGCCUGAUCCAGCAACGCCGCGUGAGGGAUGACGGCCUUCGGGUUGUAAACCUCUUUCAGCAGGGACGAAGCGCAAGUGACGGUACCUGCAGAAGAAGCACCGGCCAACUACGUG